rnacentral:lncRNA from 1 species
CUCCAGCACGCAGGCUUCUGGCAGAGCAUCAGGCUGGGUGCUUCCUUCUCCUAAAAAGGCCAUAGCACACAUCCCCGGGCCAAGUUAAUUUUCUGGAUGGGAAGGAGCGACUAACAGCUGCCUUCUCUGACCAAGUCAAAAACCUCCUUGUGAUGGGGACUGGCUGAGUGGAGGCUUUCCCAUGUUCUGAGACAGGAGCGAAGGAAGAGCGAGCCAGAUGACACUGGGCAGAGAGGCAGAGAAAUGAGCCAGGUCCUGGCCCCUUGGUCCGUGCUCUCACCCAGUUCCAACUGAUGUUUUCAGACAUUGAGGAGGCCAUCUGUAGUCUCCACUCAGGCCUCACGGUCCCAUCAAGAACCCAGUGUAGACAUGUGGAUCCCAAGCUACAAGCCAUGCCUCCGAUAUUAAGAGGUGCUGCAGACAGCACAGCUGGAGGAGGAGAACCACAUCUAAGUGUUCUGACGUCAGACACGAAGCUACAGGAGUCACAGUUUGCUCUGUUGGGUUUCAGUCUUGUUUGAUCUGGAAUUUCCUUGCUGACCC